UCUGGCCUUGGUUUCAAUGGGUGCUGUCCAAUGAGCAAGGGGCAUAUACAUCCCUGACCCCCUUUGCUAGGUUGAUGGGAGAGAACUUCGUGCUGUAUAAUAUUUCAGCUACCAGAAAAAGGUGAUACCAGGUUGAUCAAUAUUCAAUAUAAUAACCUCUUGGUAAAUAAUACUGCCACUAGUACUUCAGUAUGUGCUAGAUCACCUUUUUUCUGAUAAGCACUAAUGUAAGCAGUGGUGCUUUAAAUUGUAAUAGCUCUGAUGUAGUCUGCUAUUUAGCUGAAUGCUGGGAUAGCACCAAUGACACCACAGUGAUGGUUAAGAUUCCCUCCUUUGUGCCAAUCCCAGUGGAGGCAAACCCAGAUAGCUUUCCUAUUCUUAAUUUGCUGAGAGCCAAAAGAGAUUUUGGAAUUACGGCAGCCAUAAUUUCAGCCACUGUGCUGUCUGCUGCCACAGCUACCACAGCUGCAAUUGCUAUGACCAAUCAAAUACAGACAGCUGAGACUGUCAAUCAGAUUUUAGAAAGAACUGCAAUGGCACUAGAGAUACAAAAAGAAUUUAAUACCCAUUUGGCAUCUGGCCUUCUAUUAGCCAAUCAAAGGAUAGAUUUAGUUCAAGAACAAAUUGAAGCACUGUAUCAUAUGACACAGCUGUCUUGUGUUUCCUCCCUUAGAGGUUUAUGCAUUAUUCCUUUGCGAGCUAACUUUUCUCAGCAUUUUCAACAGAGCAAAGAAAUCUCGAAUUAUCUGAA
rnacentral:lncRNA from 1 species